rnacentral:lncRNA from 9 species
UUUCCUUAUAAGUCCACCCUUGAGGACUCCACCCUCAUGACCUAACUGCCUCCCAAAGCACUGCCUCCUAACACCGUCGUGUCAGGGGUUAUGACUUCAACAUACGCAUUUGGGGAAGGACACCGAAAUUCAGUCCACAAUCAUCAGAAUUCUGGUAGAAACAAUGAAUUCCUCUGCUACACUCUGAGGGUUUCCUGAGGGACAGAGUGUGUUUUAACUUGCCCGUGGUGAGUCAGCACCCAACAAGGGACGCAGGACGCAUGGUCACCUGAAAGAAAGAAAAAUGAUGGGAAAAGAAAAUCAACAGAAGAG